UACGGGGGGGGCAAGCGUUGUUCGGAAUUACUGGGCGUAAAGGGCUCGUAGGCGGCCAACUAAGUCGGACGUGAAAUCCCUCGGCUUAACCGAGGAACUGCGUCCGAUACUGGAUGGCUUGAGUGUGGGAGAGGGAUGCGGAAUUCCAGGUGUAGCGGUGAAAUGCGUAGAUAUCUGGAGGAACACCGGUGGCGAAGGCGGCAUCCUGGACCACGACUGACGCUGAGGCGCGAAAGCUAGGGGAGCAAACAGG
rnacentral:rRNA from 1 species